rnacentral:snRNA from 1 species
CUACUUGCCAUAUGCAAUACAUAUACUAAAAUUGGAACGAUACAGAGAAGAUUAGCAUGGGGCCUGCACAAGGAUGACACGCAAAAUCGUGAAGCGUUCCAUAUUUUU